CCUGGCUCCACCCUUGUGAAGUGAAAUCUGCCAGGUGGGGAUCAUAUGACCAUUGCUAUAUAAGAAGCAUGAGGAGAGUUUGAGGUUCAGGUUAUUUAGGGUGCUUUUUCUCUUGUGGUGAAGCCUGUGUUCCCCAGUAAGCUGCUUUCUCUUCAUGUUUUCUACCAUCUCUGUGAAAUGGGUUUAAAGCCUCUAUGAGCUAGCUACGUUGGCAGUGCCUUCUCAGUACAGUAAAACCCUCAUGGUGCGACUUCACUGUGAAGCAGUUUGGCAGUGACUCAAGUUCAGAAGCUGGCAGACUAUUGAGAGAGUCAGAAGAACACUUUUCAUCAGAGCAUAAAGAUAAUUACAUCAUAAAAGAAAAAGGAACUCCAAAUACAAACGCUUCUGCUUGAAUGUUUCUUGUCACCAGCAUCUUCCUUGAAGAGCCUGUCAU
rnacentral:lncRNA from 1 species